UCUGGCAACAUUCUGCAGUCCCUGG
rnacentral:miRNA from 1 species